CUCCUCCAUGGAACUUCUGUUGUCAUCCAGUGGCUGAAAUCAACUGGAAGCCUACAGGGAAAGACCUGCCUCCUGGGACACAGAGCAGGUCAGUAGGCAUUUGGUAGGAAUCUGCAUCAAACUGUUGGGCAAUGGUAGACAGCAACAUUGACGUCUGUAAAUUUACACUUGGAUUCUUAGUUUCUGGUUGGCUGCAUCCUUCUUCUGAAGGCCACUGCUCUUUUCAGAAGACCUCCCUAGAUGGCUAAGCUCUCUGGGUUGCAACAGUUGCUCUUUUUCCUUGAGCCUUAGGUUAGGGAGUUGGGAGGAAGUAAUGGCUUCCCCCACUGCUAGCUCCAGGGUGCUACACUUUCUCUUUUCUAGUUUCCCUAAUCUGGCUUACACCAUUAUAGAUAGACCCUUUAUUAAAAUAUCCUCAAUUUAUCCAUAU
rnacentral:lncRNA from 1 species